rnacentral:rRNA from 1 species
GACGAACGCUGGCGGUAUGCUUGACACAUGCAAGUCGAACGAGAAGUCUUUUAUUGAACCUUCGGGGGAUAUAAGAGACAGACAGUGGCGAACGGGUGAGUAACGCGUGGGCAACCUACCUAUCGGAGCGGGAUAGCCUCGAGAAAUCGGGAGUAAAACCGCAUAACACGGAUAUAUCGCAUGAUGAAUCCGUCAAAACUCCGGUGCCGAUAGAUGGGCCCACGUCUGAUUAGCUAGUUGGUAAGGUAAGGGCUUACCAAGGCAACGAUCAGUAGCCGGUCUGAGAGGGCGAACGGCCACACUGGAACUGAGACACGGUCCAGACUCCUACGGGAGGCAGCAGUGGGGAAUAUUGCGCAAUGGGGGCAACCCUGACGCAGCAAUACCGCGUGAGUGAAGAAGGUUUUCGGAUCGUAAAGCUCUGUUAUUGGGGAAGAAGCAGUGACGGUACCCAAUGAG